UUCUAAUUGCCACUCCAGAACAGAGAAAAGCACACCAACUGUGCCAUGUAAAUUUGUUAAAACCCUAUUAUGCAUGUUCCUCUGAGGCUGAGCAGUGGGAGUCUACAGAGGACUGUAAACCUGUUCUUUUCGCCAAUAACGUUAUUUCGCUGGGUUCUUGUCAUGCUAGGUCCGUGCAUGAGGAGGAAGAUGUUCCUGGUCCCGACAAUUGCAUACUGCAGGCACCAUGAACUGUCCAUUUCCAAUUGACUGUGCCGCGACUGCUGCUUCAAGUUUCAGCACGGAAAUGUCACUGUCCUUUCCGGCAGUAUAUGCCCAGCAAGCCAGCAAAGUAUGGCAUCAAGAUAUGGGUGGCCUGUGACGCACAAUCCAGCUUUGCUUGGAAGAUGCAAGUCUACACAGGGAAGCCGACCAGUGGAAGCCCGGAGAAGAACCAGGGGAUGCGGGUUUUGCUUGAUGUGACAGAUGGACUGAGGGGGCACAAUGUCACAUGUGACAAUUUCUUCACCUCUUAUGAACUCAGCCAGUAGCUCCUGAAGAGGAAGAUCACUGUGGUUGGUACAAUUAGAAAGAACAAGCCUGAGCUCCCCCCUGAACUCCUCACAAGGGGAGAGAGGCCUUCUCAUCAAAGUUAGCCUUCACCCCCACCACCAGUCUAGUUUCUUACCUCCCAAAUAGGAACAAGAAUGUGGUCCUCCUGAGCACACUGCACAAAACGGCUGAGAUCAGUGACCGUGAGGACAGGAAGCCAGGCAUCAUCCUGGACUACAACCACAACAAAGGAGGCGUGUACAACCUGGAUAAGGUGAUUGGAACUUACAGCUGCAGGAGGAUGACUGCCCGCUGGCCCCUGGUCAUCUUCCAUAACAUCAUUGAUGUGUCCUCAUACAAUGCCUUUGUGAUAUGGAACAAGAUCAACCCUACCUGGAUGCCUGAUAAGCGGAAACAAGAGGAGGGUGUUCCUGGAGCAGCUGGGAAAGGCACUUGUAACCCCACACAUUCAAAGAAGGGAGUGCCUCCCCUGCACAACAGCCUCUUCAGCGCUUGUGAAAGCUGUUCAGUGGGCUGAAUCUUUUCCUGAUCCACCUGAGGCUGCAGCUGGGGCCGACAAGAGGAGGAGAUGCCAAUUCUGUAAAACAAAUACUAUGUGCUCCACAUGUGAGAAAUACAUCUGCAAAGGCCAUUUAUACACACUUGCAUACUGUCCUACAUGUGCUAAUUAGAGUUGAUAGAUUUAUGUUCUUCACGCUUUUGUUUUGUAUCUAUCUUAUUUAUUGUUUAUACACCUUGAGGGUGGGGGCAAUGGUUCAAAAAAUGGGAGAAGACUAGUAUUUUGUUUGUACAGUAUAAGAAUAUUACUAUGUUGCCAAAAAAGUUCAAGACUGUUAUUGUUUCCCUUCAAUAAAAC
rnacentral:lncRNA from 1 species